rnacentral:rRNA from 1 species
AUAUCAAUAAGCGGAGGAAAAGAAACCAACAGGGAUUGCCUCAGUAGCGGCGAGUGAAGCGGCAAGAGCUCAGAUUUGAAAUCUCACCUAGUGUGCGAGUUGUAAAUUGCAGGUUGGAGUCUCGGGUUAGACGUGUGUGCAAGUCCCUUGGAACAGGGUGCCACUGAGGGUGAGAGCCCCGUAUCGUGCAUGUCGACACCUGUGAGGCCCUUCUGACGAGUCGAGUUGUUUGGGAAUGCAGCUCUAAGUGGGUGGUAAAUUCCAUCUAAGGCUAAAUAUUGGCGAGAGACCGAUAGCGAACAAGUACUGUGAAGGAAAGAUGAAAAGCACUUUGAAAAGAGAGUGAAACAGCACGUGAAAUUGUUGAAAGGGAAGGGUAUUGGGCUCGACAUGGGAUUUACGCAUCGUUGCCUCUCGUGGGCGGCGCUCUGGGUUUUUCCUGGGCCAGCAUCGGUUUUCGUUGCAGGAUAAGGACAAUUGGAAUGUGGCUCCUCGGAGUGUUAUAGCCUUUUGUAGAUGCUGCGUAUGGGGACCGAGGGCUGCGGCGGACUCGUUUCGUCUCGGAUGCUGGCACAA